UGUUGCUGUUGCAGUUGUUGCUGUUGCUGCUGCUGGUGUAUACUUGCUUUGGCUGGUCGCGGCGGCGGGCGGCUCUUGUCGCGUGUUGCUGGCGGCGGCACCGGCGGC